rnacentral:lncRNA from 1 species
CCCGUAUUUCUGCAAUAAUGCAUUUGUAGCGAGAGUUCUAUGUAAAAUCUUAAACUGGAACAUACUAAAUUUGUUGUUUUUAGUGCAACAAAAAGGUAAACUAUAAAAGAAAUCCCAAUUUUCUAUAUGAGUGCCUAGUUCCUUACACAUUUUGUCUUCUUGUUUUGUAGGACGUUCUGUAUACAUUGACAAGAAUUUUUUAUAAAAGAACUGACAUGAC